GUCACCUGUCCCUUUCACCGUGGCAGGAACUUUCCAUCACUGUCCCAGCCAUCUUUCCUCCUCUUCAACUGCACCCUCCCACCACUGCUAGGCCCGGCUUCCUAACGCUGCCCUCUGUUGUCACUUACCUGCUCAAACCCCCUUAGCCCCUGCCCGCUGUGUGCAGCUUGGAGCGACGGGACCUUGUCUGCCAUCCCAGGCCCUCGGCACCCUGGUUCCAACCUCACCUGAUCUCCCUCUUUUGCUCGGUCCUGCUCUCUCCCCCUGUCUUGUCAAGCUCACAUCUGUGCUUUCCAGCAGGGCUGAUUCCAGGGGCUGCCCCUCCCUUGACAGACUCCAUGAACGCACUUCCUGGAGUUGUACGGCCUGUGCGACAAGGGGGCCUCCGGGCCUUUGCCCAUGCUGCUUCCUUGUUCUGGAGGGCCGUCCUCCCCCAGCUGCCUGUGAAAGCCAAACAAUUCUUCAAAUGUCACUUCUUCCAUGAAGCCUUCGGUGAUCAUCAUUGCUUGAAAGGGUAGCUCAUGUUCACGGAUCUCUGAAAAAAAAUGUACCUUACGCUUAUAAUUUUCUUUGUAUUUCAGAUUUUGCUUAGAACACAAACCUCCAUAAAGACUAUUGAUUACUUUCCUGUAUAUCGUUUGCUGUGCCUAGCGCUGGGCCUGGCACAUAGUACACGGCCUCUCCUCGUGCUUAUUUACUACUAGAAGCAGAGAAGGAUUGAGUCGAACCCUAAAGAUGGUCCCUCCAUUACCCAGACUCACUUAAUGCGAAGCAGCGAUUCUCAGAUGCAUAUGGAGAAAUCUUCCAGAACUGAGGCCCCCGUCAGCAAAUUGCACCUGUGGUGCAGUGAGUGGCACAGGAGUUCGCACGUUUUCCUGUAACAGACCUGAGAGUAGAGGCAGGUGAUGUGAUCCGAGGUGCAAGCUCAGUCCUGCCUCCCAACCAGGUGAGUUUCUUGGCCGCCCUGGGCCUCAAUUUCCUCACCUCUAAAGGGUGGACGCUGAUGCUACCUACCUCACAGGUACAUUUUGAAGGUCAGGUGUAGGUGAAAUGAUGCAUUAGAAGCCCAGUGAAGGCCCAGGGAUGGGAACAAUUGUGGCUUUACAGUAUAAUCAUACAAAUUCUAGAAGUUACAGGAUUAUAGGCUGAAUUAUGUCCCCCAAACAUUCAUCUGUUGACGUCCUAACCCCUAGGAGCUCAGAAUGUGAAAGGAUUUGGAGACAGGGGUCUUUACAAGGGUAAUUACAUGAAAAUGAAGUCCCUAGGGUGGACCCUAAUCCCCUGUGACUGGUGUCCUUAAAAGAAGAGUUGGUUAGGACGCAGACGCACACGGAGGGAAGACCACCUGAGGACACAGGGAGAAGACGGCAUCUGCAAGCCAAGGAGGGAGCCUCCAAAGAAACCAUCCCUGCCGACACCCUGACCUUGGACUUCCAGCCUCCGAACGGUGAGAAAAUAACUUCUGUUGUCUAAGCCUCCAGCACUUGGUCCUCUGUGAUGGCCGCCCACGUGAACUGACCACAGGUCCUUAACUGGAAUAUCGGUGUCACCGUUGUUCAUGGUCUGAAUCUCCACCCUGAGGUCCUUACCAUCUAAGCAUGCUGCUGAGAGAGCUCGUCUGAGCAGGACACAGCCCCGGCGCCCUUCCCACUCCUGGAGCCCCUCAUCUUCCCAGGGGCCCUGCUCUCCUGCUUCCCAGGACUGUCUCUCCCAGGUGACGGCUCUCGACGCCCCUGGAGGGAACUUCCUCCUUCCCCCCUCGGGAGCCUCACUCCGCCGUUUCCCGCCCAAGAUGCCCCUCUGGAGGGCACAUCUGCCCUUCAAUGAGGUGGAUUUAAAACUCUCCAAAUACCAACAGGAGACUGUGUUCGAGCCUGCUCCACUGGGAUCACCAACACGAUGGUCUCUUAGGGUGGGUUUUUUUUUUAAUGUUUAACUUUAUUUAUUUAUUCUUAACUUUGAAAAUGUUUGGUGUGGUAAGAACACUUCACAUGAGAUCUACCCACUUAACAAAAUUUUGUUUUUGUUUUUGAUUUUGUUUCUUUGGCUGCACUGCACGGCUUGUGGGAUCUUAGUUCCCUGACCAGGGAUUGAACUCGGGCCCCGGCAGUGAAAGCUCUGAGUCCUAACCACUGGACCACCAGGGAAUUCCCAGCAAAAUUUUAAGUCUAUAAUCCAUCAUUGUUUUUUUAAAUUUAUUUUAAUUUUUAUUGACGUAGAGUUGAUUUACAAUGUUGUGUUACUUCCUGCUGUACAACAAAGUGCUUCAGUUAUAUAUAUAUAUUCUUUUCCAUUAUGGUCUGUUAUAGGAUAUUGGAUAUAGUUCCCUGUGCUCUACAGUAGGUCCUUGUUGUUGUUUAUCUAUUUUUAUCUAUAGUAGUUUGUAUCUGUUAAUCUCAAACUCCUAAUUUAUUCCUCCACCACCCCCCUCCCCCUCGGCAACCACAAGUCUGUUCUCUAUGUCUGUGAGUCUGUCUCUGUUUCGUAAAUAAAGUCAUUGGUGUCGAUACAUAUCGUGUAUCAUGUAAGUGACAUCAUCUGGUUGUAAUCCACGACUGUUGACUAUUGGUACAGUGUCGUACAGCAGAUACUUAGAGCUUGUUCAUCUCACUUGCCUGAAACUUUAUGCCUGUCAAUCAGUAAUUCCCCAUAAUUCCCCUCUCUUUCCAGUCCCUGGCAACCAGCAUUGCACUCUGAUUCUAUGAAUGUGACCUUUUAAUUUCAGAUACCUCAUGUAAGUGGAACCAUGUCUUUCUGUGACUUGCUUAUUCACUGAGCAUAAUGUCCUCAAGGUUCACCCAUGUUGUCCCAUUUUGCAGAAUUUCUUUCUUUUUAAAGUCUGAAUGGUGUUCCACCGUACGCCUCUAUCAUAUUUCUUUAUCUGUUCACCUAUCGAUGGACAUUUAGGUCACUUCCACAUCUUGACUAUUGUGAGUGAUGUCAUAAUGAAUACAGGAGUGCUAAUACCUCUUUGAGAUCCUGAAUUCAAUUCAUUUGGGUAAAUACCCAUUAGUGGGAUUGCAGGGUAGGAUUCUGAAGACACGGAGAGGAGAUCCCUGGAGCCGUGCCUGCAGUGCUUCCUCGGGUUACAAAGGCACCGCUAGCCCUGCGCUGGGAGCACAGGAAAGUGGUUGGGGGUGAGGUUAUUUUUGUCUUGCAAACUGCAGGCCAGGUCUUUCUCCUGGGCCAGGGAGUUAACCAGUGCACCUCGUCUGCUAAGUCAUCCCCUUUUCAUCCCCUGUUUUCUCAGGAGACAGUCUUAUAAAUCUGGCUAAUAACUCCCAUUUCAUUUCCCCAAACUCCAUUAGAGGGAAGUUAUAAUGAAGCUCAAAUACUCGCCAGGUUAUUCACGGGAAAGACCUCUGGCUUUUAAAAAAUGCGUUUUAGGUGGCCAGAUUAACCUAGCGGCACAUUACAGUACAGCCCUGCUGAAGUCCUGCGGGAGAUCCCUGGCACCCGGCAUUGUACCUUGCACAGUGCUGCCAGGAGCGUGAACUAUCUUUACAGGAAGAGGCGAGAAUUAAUAUGUCAGAUGGAAAAGACCCACUGGCAGCACCCGAUGAAAACCCAGGACCCUCGUUCCUUGCCAAGGUUCUUCAAGGUUAGAGUCAUAAUCACACGACUGAGGACCCAGCACCCUCGGCCGGCCGCUCCCCGAGAAGGGCACCAGGCAGAGCAGCAGAGAAUUUACGUGCUGCCUCCCUCCAUCUGGCCCUGCUCGCCCACAGCCUUGGAGAGAGGUACCUCCCUAGAUGCGUAACUUACAGCAGCCACGUGGAAAACAACAUGCUGAUCUCAUUCCUUUCAUUACCUCCCUGGCAGAGCAAGUUAAUCAAAAAAAAGGUAUGAUCGCUGCUUUGUGUUCACUUAAGAGGUUGAUUUGCAAUGUAAAUAUAUGCAUUUGUAUGGUAUAUACAUCAAUAUAAAAGUAAUAAUAACGAUGAUGGUAUCUAUCACUAAAUGAGCUCCGGACCCUGGGGAAGGAUAACUACACAGAUUAUCUAUAACCCCACGAAGCCAACAUUAUUCGGUUCAUUUUAUUGAUGGAGAAACUGAGGCUCAGAGUGGUUAAGGAACUUGCCCAAGGUCACACAGCUGCUAUGUGACGGGAUUCAACCUAAGUUAUAAGGUAGUAUUUGUGGCAGGGUGAACCGAAGCUUCUCUCUGAACACUCGGCCCCAAUCCCACUUGAUCCCCACCAAGGUCAAGGGAAAAACUUGGGCAUGAGAGAUAGACAGGCCCCUGUUCAUUGUUGUGUAUAUGAGGAAGCUGAGGACUGUAACGGGGAGAAGAUCAUAUCUGCCUCCAAGAAAUGCAAUGUUAUUAAGACACAAGUAGGUUAAGAGUGAGAGGAUGAAAAAAGCUAUGCUAUGCUAAUCAGUAAUCAAAAGAUAGCUGGAGAGAGAAUAUUAGUAUCACACAAAGCAGAUUACAGAACAAAUAACAUAUCAGGAAUUAAAAAGUCAUUUCAUAAUGAUAAAGGGAUUAAUUAAGCCAGGGGACAUAACAAUUCCAAAUGUUAUGCACUGAAUAACAAGGCUUCAAAAUACAUGAAGGAGAAAUGAAUAGAAUUGCAAGAAGAAACAGACAAAUCCACAAUUACCGUCAGAGAUUUCAACACCACUCUGUCAAUAAUUAGUAGAACAAGUAGACAGAAGAUCAGCAAGGAUGUAGACAACCUGGGCAACCCUCCACCAACUCAGCCUGAUUGACGUUUAUAGAUCACAUCACCCAACAACAGCAGAAUACACAUUGCUUGUUAGCGCACACGAAGAUUUACCAAGAUGCAUAAUACUCCGUUCCAUAAAACAAGUCUCAACACAUCGAAAAAGAUUCAAGUCAUAUAAAGUAUGUUCUCUGACCACGGUGGAAAUAAAUCACAAAUCAGUAACAGAUAUUUGGAAAAUCUCCAAAUAAUUGUACAUGGAAUAAUACAUUUAUAACUAACCAAUGAGUCAAAGAAGAAAUUAUAUGAUUAUCUCAGUAGCCAUAGAAAAAGCAUUUAACAAAG